CCCUUAGAUGUUCUGGGCCGCACGCGCGCUACACUGACGAAUGCAACGAGCUUAUAACCUUGGCCGAAAGGUCUGGGUAAUCUCCAAAUUUCGUCGUGAUGGGGAUAGAUUAUUGCAAUUAUUAAUCUUCAACGAGGAAUGCCUAGUAAGCGCAAGUCAUCAGCUUGCGUUGAUUACGUCCCUGCCCUUUGUACACACCCCCCGUCGCUCCUACCGAUUGAAUGGUCCGGUGAAGCGUUCGGACCGUGGCCUUUGGACGGUUCGCCGUCUGUUGGCUGCGGGAAGUUCGUUAAACCUUAUCAUUUAGAGGAAGGAGAAGUCGUAACA
rnacentral:rRNA from 1 species